CUCAACCGGGGAACUGCUUGGUAUACUGGUCGCCUUGAGCGUGGUAGAGGCGGUCGGAACGGUAGGUGGAGCGGUGAAAUGCGUAGAUAUCUACCGGAACGCCGAAGGUGAAGACAGGCCGCUGGGCCACUGCUGACGCUCAGGCACGAAAGCGUGGGGAGCGAACGGGAUUAGAUACCCCGGUAGUCCACGCCCUAAACGUUGUGCACUAGACCAGGGAGGUUCUGAUGCCAUCCGGGUCGAAGGAAAACCGAUAAGUGCACCGCCUGGGGAGUACGGUCGCAAGGCUAAAACUCAAAGGAAUUGACGGGGGCUCACACAAGCGGUGGAGCAUGUGGCUUAAUUCGAAGCAACGCGAAGAACCUUAUCCUGGAAUUGACAUGUACGAAUUAGCCCUGUGAAAGCAGGGUGACGCGGCUUGCCGUGGAACG
rnacentral:rRNA from 1 species